UUGGAGGGCAAGUCUGGUGCCAGCAGCCGCGGUAAUUCCAGCUCCAAUAGCGUAUAUUAAAGUUGCUGCAGUUAAAAAGCUCGUAGUUGAAUUUCGGGACCAAUAUGUCGGUCGUGCCUCGGUACGUACUGGCAUCGUUGGUUUCUCCCUUCUGACGAACCAUGAUGUCAUUUAUUUGGUGUCGUGGGGAAUCAGGACUGUUACUUUGAAAAAAUUAGAGUGUUUAAAGCAGGCUCACGCUUGAAUACAUUAGCAUGGAAUAAUGAAAUAGGACGUUUGAUUCUAUUUUGUUGGUUUCUAGGAUUGACGUAAUGAUUAAUAGGGAUAGUUGGGGGCAUUAGUAUUCAAUUGUCAGAGGUGAAAUUCUUGGAUCUAUUGAAGACUAACUACUGCGAAAGCAUUUGCCAAGGAUGUUUUCAUUAAUCAAGAACGAAAGUUAGGGGAUCGAAGACGAUCAGAUACCGUCGUAGUCUUAACCAUAAACUAUGCCGACUAGGGAUCGGAUGAUGUUAAUUUUUUAAUGACUCAUUCGGCGCCUUACGGGAAA
rnacentral:rRNA from 1 species